rnacentral:lncRNA from 1 species
GAACAACGCUUGUAAGAAAACAACACAUCCGGAUUAUAGUUUAAUUUAUAAUUUUGAGGAAAACCCACUAGAACCAUGUGCAUACAACGAAUAAAUCGACCUAAUCAGACAUUCCACCAUGAGACUGAACUCCAGUCCGCUGAAGUGUAAUACUGGAAAUAAAUGCACACAGGAGUAUGGCCAGCUCAACCACAAACUGGAUUUGAGCUUAUGAGAUCAUAAAGCCCGAGGUCACAGGUCAUCCCACUGUUUAUUCUACCCACAACGGGGAACGAUGGCGCCAUCAUGAAAGAAAACUGCUUUAGGAACUUAAAGGAAUGAAUGAACCAGGAAUGAAGUCGUAUUGUUGCUCCAGGCUACAGUCUCCCUUCAUAGUCCUCAACCAGAUGAUCAAAAAGGCCGUGAUUUGUCUAUCCCAGGUCCCAGAGAUCUACAUUCUUAGAUUUAUUGUGUGCAGCAACUUCGCCUAGAGGAGUCAAGAGCAAUUAUUGAACAAAGAGAAGCAAACUACAGGUGUGAACACCCAGUCUCCAGUCUCUGCUGAAAAGAACAAAAAUAUGAGCAAUUGAUGCGCUUCAAAAUUCACUUAAAUAUUGAAAACCUGUGCGGAUAGUAUAUCUGAAAAAAAAAGGAAAGAGAAAAUCGCCUAAUUUGGUUUGCGAACACUGUGAUUCAAAUCUCACAGGACUAGAACGGGCAUGAAUGAGCAGUUGGUAAUUUCAGCCUUCAGGCUAAGCUCACCUCUGAACAUCUUUCUGCAGCUUGGAAAAAGCGUCGAAAGAUUUGUAUCAUUUAACCUUGUUGAAGUGAAAGGACACCAGCAGCAGGCUAAACGUGCGUAACAGGCAGCGAGUCG